rnacentral:lncRNA from 1 species
AUGGCAGUGGUGACUGAUCAUACCCGCCAGCUGGCUAAUAUCAUAAUUAACGAAGUUGGUGCGACGUCUGCAAAGUUUAAUCGGAACAUUUACCAGCGAUGUGAUGGCAUCGUUACGAAGAUCACAAGGGACCUGGCCGUGACUUUUGCCCAAGGAGGAAUGGCAAAGCUGUGCAGGCGAAAUGAGAAAUUGCAAACUUGUUCAGCCAAAGGUUAUGCUUCAUAUCACCCACCAGGGAGGAUCAUCUCUCAUGAAAACUUUCAAAUUUGA